rnacentral:rRNA from 1 species
UACGUAGGGGGCAAGCGUUGUCCGGAAUCAUUGGGCGUAAAGAGCGUGUAGGCGGCCCGAUAAGUCCGCUGUGAAAGUCCAGGGCUCAACCCUGGGAUGGCCGGUGGAUACUGUCGGGCUUGAGUACGGAAGAGGCGAGUGGAAUUCCUGGUGUAGCGGUGAAAUGCGCAGAUAUCAGGAGGAACACCAAUUGCGAAGGCAGCUCGCUGGGACGUUACUGACGCUGAGACGCGAAAGCGUGGGGAGCAAACAGG